UGGGAAUUUUGGACAAUGGGCGCAAGCCUGAUCCAGCCAUGCCGCGUGCAGGAUGAAGGCCUUCGGGUUGUAAACUGCUUUUGUACGGAACGAAAAGACUCCUUCUAAUAAAGGGGGUCCAUGACGGUACCGUAAGAAUAAGCACCGGCUAACUACGUGCCAGCAGCCGCGGUAAUACGUAGGGUGCGAGCGUUAAUCGGAAUUACUGGGCGUAAAGCGUGCGCAGGCGGUUAUAUAAGACAGAUGUGAAAUCCCCGGGCUCAACCUGGGAACUGCAUUUGUGACGGUAUGGCUAGAGUACGGCAGGGGGGGAUGGAAUUCCGCGUGUAGCAGUGAAAUGCGUAGAUAUGCGGAGGAACACCGAUGGCGAAGGCAGUCCCCUGGGCCUGUACUGACGCUCAUGCACGAAAGCGUGGGGAGCAAACA
rnacentral:rRNA from 1 species